rnacentral:rRNA from 1 species
CACAUGCAAGUCGAGGGGAAACGACAUCGAAAGCUUGCUUUUGAUGGGCGUCGACCGGCGCACGGUUGAGUAACGCGUAUCCAACCUGCCCACCACUUGGGGAUAACCUUGCGAAAGUAAGACUAAUACCCAAUGAUAUCUCUAGAAGACAUCUGAAAGAGAUUAAAGAUUUAUCGGUGAUGGAUGGGGAUGCGUCUGAUUAGCUUGUUGGCGGGGUAACGGCCCACCAAGGCUACGAUCAGUAGGGGUUCUGAGAGGAAGGUCCCCCACAUUGGAACUGAGACACGGUCCAAACUCCUACGGGAGGCAGCAGUGAGGAAUAUUGGUCAAUGGACGAGAGUCUGAACCAGCCAAGUAGCGUGCAGGAUGACGGCCCUAUGGGUUGUAAACUGCUUUUAUAAGGGAAUAAAGUGAGUCUCGUGAGACUUUUUGCAUGUACCUUAUGAAUAAGGACCGGCUAAUUCCGUGCCAGCAGCCGCGGUAAUACGGAAGGUCCGGGCGUUAUCCGGAUUUAUUGGGUUUAAAGGGAGCGUAGGCCGGAGAUUAAGCGUGUUGUGAAAUGUAGAUGCUCAACAUCUGCACUGCAGCGCGAACUGGUUUCCUUGAGUACGCACAAAGUGGGCGGAAUUCGUGGUGUAGCGGUGAAGUGCUUAGAUAUCACGAAGAACUCCGAUUGCGAAGGCAGCUCACUGGAGCGCAACUGACGCUGAAGCUCGAAAGUGCGGGUAUCGAACAGGAUUAGAUACCCUGGUAGUCCGCACGGUAAACGAUGGAUGCCCGCUGUUGGUCUGAAUAGGUCAGCGGCCAAGCGAAAGCAUUAAGCAUCCCACCUGGGGAGUACGCCGGCAACGGUGAAACUCA